AGACUGAACGCUGGCGGCGUGGUUAAAGCAUGCAAGUCGAGCGGACCCGCAAGGGUUAGCGGCGAAAGGGUGAGUAAAAGUAUCCAACGUACCCCGAGGUGUGGGAUAGGCAGGGGAAACCCGGCAUAAUACCACAUGAUCUCUACGGAGCAAAGAUUUAUCGCCUUGGGAGCGGGGAUACACCUAUCAGGUAGUUGGCGGGGUAACGGCCCACCAAGCCGAAGACGGGUAGCAGGUGUGAGAGCACGGCCUGCCACAUCGAAACUGAGACACUGUUCGGACUCCUACGGGAGGCUGCAGCGACGAAUCUUCCGCAAAUGGGCGAAAAGCCUGACGGAGCGACGCCGCGUGUGGGAUGAAGCGGCUUUGCCGUGUAAAACCACUGUCAGGAAUAGAAACAUUGAUCAUUUCCAAAAGGAAGGGCGACUAAACUCUGUGCCAAGCAAGCCGC
rnacentral:rRNA from 1 species